ACGGGAGGCAGCAGUGGGGAAUAUUGGGCAAUGGGCGCAAGCCUGACCCAGCAAUGCCGCGUGAAGGAAGAAGGCUUUCGGGUUGUAAACUUCCUUUAAGUGGGACGAUAAUGACGGUACCACUUGAAUAAGCUCCGGCUAACUACGUGCCAGCAGCCGCGGUAAUACGUAGGGAGCAAGCGUUAUCCGGAUUUACUGGGUGUAAAGGGCGUGUAUGCGGGACAGCAAGUCAGAUGUGAAAGCACGAGGCUCAACUUCGUGUCUGCAUUUGAAACUGCUGGUCUUGAGUGCUGGAGAGGCUAACGGAACUCCUAGUGUAGCGGUGAAAUGCGUAGAUAUUAGGAAGAACACCAGUGGCGAAGGAGGGUAGCUGGACAGUAACUGACGCUGAGGAGAGAAAGCGUGGGUAGCAAACAGGAUUAGAGACCCUGGUA
rnacentral:rRNA from 1 species